ensembl:lncRNA
CAGCUGUGAAUGUUUCACAAUCCUUUCCAAACAUUAGAACCUCGACUGCAGGGUACCAUCUCAAGAAGAAAGGAAGUACCUUGUUUUCGGAUUUGGUUUGGUUUUUCGCUUGUUUUGCUCUCUUGCUCUCAGGUCUGUUACCCACUCUUCAGAGUGGAACCAGACUUCCUCUGCACCAUGAACAGAGCCCUGGCUUAGUCCCAGGCGUCCUGCAGAACUUCUAGUGCCUUCCUCACACAGGUUGCGGGUAGGAGAUUAGAAGAACACAGCUCUGGUAUUGUAAGGAUGGAAAAGAAGUCGUGUCUGACUCCUAUCGACCCUAUAGACUAUAGGCUGUCAGCCUCCUCUGUCCACAGGAUUCUCCAGGCAAGAACACUGGAGUGGGGGGCCAUUUCCUCCUCCAGGGGAUCUUCCCGACCCAGGGACUGAGUCUGCAUCUCCUGCAUUGGCAGGCAGGUUCUUUACCACCAAGCCGCCUGGGAAGUUCCCAGUCUCCUGAGGUUCCAGCUCAAAUUUGUUCCAGAUUGUGAAAUAAAUAGAAGCAAUGUCCAAGAAGGCCUGAACAGAAGUUGUUUAUCACCCCCAAAAGAGCAAGGCGAUGGAUUCGGACAAGAAGCUGCACCUCAAGACAGAAUGAAUGAGGAUGAACCAAAGGCGACAUUGCUGACAGUUCCACUUUGAGCUAAAUGAGCAGCCUUGCUUGAAGAAACUGGUUUAAGGGACUCUCACAAACCCCUGCAUUUGCCCUGAUGUCACACUGAACCUGCUCUGUACAGAAGAGCCCUCGAUCUCUCCAGUGAGUCACAGCAGUGAGACCCAAGCCUCCUCCCUUUCACUCAUUGUUCCUGGUGGCCUCUCCCUCCUGCUGGUGCUGACUACUGCUCUCCAUCUCUU